AUGGGACAUUUGUACAAUCCACAUAUGAAGAUAAGGAAGAAAGAGAUGUUUAUUUGCUGUCCAAAAAGUUCUCUCACGUCACUUUUGGCCCAAGAGAAGAUAGAGUCCAAGUCUCUCACGUUCUGGAUUCAGAUUCGGACUGCACAGACAUACCUGACUCAAAACGCACACAAGUUUUUCACACGGACUCCGAAUGGGGUGAUUCUUUUCUUGUUGGAAACUAGAUUUCGUGCACUUUCCAACCCAAUUGGAAUCACCUUCAAAUUCGUCCGGAGCGUUGAGUUGUGGACGAAACAAUCUGAUGCUGCAGCAGAAUCCGAGUCAAACUACAAGUCCAAAGGUGUUACAUCACCUCCACUUGGGCCCAUUGGCCUUGUACGACCUAGAUUUAGUUUUAGGCUGACUUGGGACGUCCUCCCACCUCCUUGGCCGCCACCCCUUGCUCCUAUAUAA
rnacentral:rRNA from 1 species